AGUUAGUCCUGACAAAGGGUCUCGGCCUGAAAUGAUGUCCACAGUACCUCUUCCUAUAGAAGCUGCCUGACCUGCUGCGUUCACCAGCAUUUUUUGUGUGUGUUGCUUGAAAUUCCAGCAUCUGCAGAUUUCCUCGUGUUUGCGUUUUUAAACAGGUGAAUUCAAUUAUAUUAUGAUCACUUAUGAUGAACUGACGGCGCUUGUCAGAAGUCAGAGAACAUUUCGGGAGAGCAGUGUCAUGUGUUUUACUGAGACGUGGCUGCACGAGGACAUACCCGAUCAAAGCGUUUCCAUCGAGGGCUUCCAGACCAUUCGAGCUGACCGGAAUUGUACUGAGAGUGUAAAUGAAAUCAGCUCCAGCAGACAGGGCGAUUGAGAUCUACUGUGAGGUCCAACGAGCAGGAACGUGGUUCUGCAUCACUCCAUGGACAGCAAGGGGCAUGAUGAGGCACAGGAGAAGUCAUGGAGCCCUAGUCAUCCACCGUAUCCAAGGCAGACCCCCAGUUGUGAUGGCUACACGUACCACUGGACCCAGACUUUCGAGGUCGUGAGAGUAGAACUGCUCCAGAGCAACAGCUUCUUCACUUGAAAGCACUCCUGCACAGGUUUUCCUGACAUUGUCGGAUAUGACUUUCAACCACCAUCUUCUUCUUCUUCAUGUACCUUGUGCGUUACAUGCUUGGGUGAUCAUGGCUUUCCACAUCGAACGAUCCCACGCAGCGUCAAUGAUAUCUCGCACACUUAGAUCUGUUAGUUCUUUCAACCACCGUCAAAUGAAUAAAAUCAGCACAGACACCUCUUGUAGAUAAUGAACUGCCUUCAUACAGCGCUUUCGAUGAUGGCACCCUCCAAAUCUUCAUUUUCCUUAUAACAUUCAAGAUGAUGGUCAAAACCUUCAAAUUCUCCAUAGUUCCUAACUAGCUGAAGUAGUUAAAUCGUUUCAUUUUCACUCCCAGCAUUGCUGGCAUCUCCAAGCCUGACUGCUUGAUCCCCUGUGAGCAAAACAGUUCCGAAUUGUCUUAUUGCUUUUUUCUUGCCAACGAUCAGUGAUAAAAAUCAUUGCCUUGUGAACAUAAACACACACAACUGACGCUAUUUAAAAACUAUUCGCUCUAAGUAUGGUGUAAUGUCUAACGGCCACACAAGUGCAUGAGACUGGCGCUAGAUACGAAUUGUUCAGCAAGAAUCUCCUGUAGCAAUUAAAUGUCAGAGUGUCCCAAAUAAAUGAAGGGGAUCCUGACGAGUUUCUCGA